rnacentral:lncRNA from 1 species
AAAUCAAAUCAAUACGUCAUUCAAAUCGUUUUCGUGCCGGUUGUUAUGCGUAGAGUUGAAUUUAUUCCUCCGUAUUUGCUUCUGAUCGUUACAAUUUGCGUAAAAACUGUCGAGCUGAUCGUUUUCGUGCCUCCAGUGGUUUUUUUUUAGAUAUUGGACUCUUUUCUUAAUGAUAAGUGAGCACAUUGACUCGUGAGCAUUGGACUCUUGUUUUUAGUGAUAUUGUUGUUUUACUCCGGAAAAAUGUCUGCACCUGGUAGAAGUCGAGUAAACUACUCUUUGUCUCGCCGGUGUGUUAAUUGCUCUUUACGUAUAGCGCCUAAUCUUCGUAGACGUUAAAUUGAAGAAAUAGAUGAACCAAUGCUUAUCCUUCUAAGAUCCUGGGUAACACCUACAUUGAUAUCUUCUGAUGAUAUCCUGUGUGUGAAAUGUUUUGUAUUAUUACAAAACCAGACAGCAUCUAACUCAAAUCUGCUCGUGGACACCUAAACAUAUGCUACGCAUGUGGCUUGUCAAUAGCAAGUUGCAGAACUCAUAGAGUCAGUCAAGAUAGUUCCUCAAAGGAAUGUUAUACUAAGAUGGACACCAGUACAUCAUGUGUUGCAUUUGGAACGAGUUUGUGUUCCUUGUUGGGCGGCUGCAUCAAGACAAGUCCGGAGGCAACCCGUUGCUGGCAGUAGCCAACACACUGUGGAGUCUGCACCGGAGACUGGUAUCAUGGAUGGAAACAUAAUUACAGAUAUGAUGAUUCCUGUACCACCACCACUGCCACCGCUUUAAUGAUAUAAGCGAUCCAGCACAAUUUCUAGACAACAUAUUCCUUUAAGAAUAAAUGUCUAUUAUUUUAA